rnacentral:rRNA from 1 species
AGAGUUUGAUCAUGGCUCAGAUUGAACGCUGGCGGCAGGCCUAACACAUGCAAGUCGAGCGUGAAAGUCCUUCGGGAUGAGUAAAGCGGCGGACGGGUGAGUAACGCGUAGGAAUCUACCUAAUAGUGGGGGAUAACGUUUCGAAAGGAACGCUAAUACCGCAUACGUUCUGAGGAAGAAAGCAGGGGAUCGUAAGACCUUGCGCUAUUAGAUGAGCCUGCGUCCGAUUAGCUAGUUGGUGGGGUAAAAGCCUACCAAGGCGACGAUCUUUAGCUGGUCUGAGAGGAUGAUCAGCCACACUGGGACUGAGACACGGCCCAGACUCCUACGGGAGGCAGCAGUGGGGAAUAUUGGACAAUGGGCGAAAGCCUGAUCCAGCAAUGCCGCGUGAGUGAUGAAGGCCCUAGGGUUGUAAAGCUCUUUACCAGGGAUGAUAAUGACAGUACCUGGAGAAUAAGCUCCGGCUAACUCCGUG